rnacentral:SRP_RNA from 1 species
AGUCGGGUAAGUCUUAUACAAUCUGCUCCCUUUCAACUCCCCCAGGGCAGGAAUGCAGCAAGGGUACAUUGGUUGUAGCGAUGUGAUGUAAGUAGCUUACCCUC